rnacentral:sRNA from 1 species
GGAGAGGAGACUUUCUGGCUAUCUUCAAGCUCAGAUAGUAGUCAGUCACUGGACUCUUUAACUAUGAGGUUUCCCUGCUCUUGAUGAUGGAACAGAUUUCAUUAAAGACCGUCUCAAAUCAGAAGAAUGACUAAUCAAAAGUGAGAAGCCAUGAGUGUUUAGAAAACAAAUUCCUAAACAUUGGCUUGUAUUGAAAAGUGAAUAGAUAAACAGUUUUGCAGUGACCUGAAGGCUUGGAUAGAGAGAAUAAAUAAAUUAUUGACACAUGAGGAGUAGACAAUUCUCCAUCCACAGUUGAGCUUUUCAUUCUUUGCGGAGCAGAUGGUCCAAAUAAAGCAGCCAAAAAUAACAGGCAUUUUACCACUCCUAGUCUCAAGAGAUCAAUCCUACCAAGUAGCUAUCUGUGAUGUUACCACAGGCAUAGAACAGAAGACAUCUUUGGACUUCAACUUCGUUGUAAAACUUCAGUUUAAAUAGUUGAGCAAAAGCGUCUUUAAGUUUCAGUCUUCUCACAAAAAUCCACCGUGAACAAAAACGGGAAAAACAAUGACAUUUCCAAAACCUCGAACUGUAAGAAAACCUACCGAAUACCCCAACAUUCAUGCUUAUAUCUCAAAAACUUUCAGCCUGCUAGUUUUCAAAGGAAUAUAAAUACCAUGAUGACACUAGAAUAUAUAAAUGAGAAAAUGAGUGAAUAAAUAAAGAAUGGGUGUGGAAAAGCAGAGCUGUCAUAAGUCAUAGAGGAAACAUAAAAGAAAAGCAAACUUUAAUAAAGUGAAAGUCAUAUUAGAAGUAAUAAUAAAGAACCAGAAAUAAACUGCUGUUGUCUAGAGUUCUCAGUGAUGUGAAAAAAG